rnacentral:rRNA from 1 species
GGUGAACGCUGGCGGCGUGCUUAAGACAUGCAAGUCGAACGGCAGUCUUCGGACUGUAGUGGCGCACGGGUGAGUAACGCGUAACUGACCUACCCCAAAGUCGCGGAUAACGAUUCGAAAGAAUCGCUAAUACGUGAUGUGCUGUCAGAUUGUGUUCUGCCAGUAAAGAUUGAUUGCUUUGGGAUGGGGUUGCGUUCCAUCAGCUAGUUGGGGGGGUAAAGGCCCACCAAGGCGACGACGGAUAGCCGGCCUGAGAGGGUGGCCGGCCACAGGGGCACUGAGACACGGGUCCCACUACUACGGGAGGCAGCAGUUAGGAAUCUUGCUCAAUGGGCGAAAGCCUGAAGCAGCGACGCCGCGUGAACGAUGAAGGCCCACUGGGUUGUAAAGUUCAUUAGAUAGGGAAGAAUAAGUUGUAUCGAACAGGUGCAGCGAUGACGGUACCUAUUGAAAGCCCCGGCUAAUUACGUGCCAGCCGCCGCAGUAAGAC